CAGCUGCCUUUACCACACGCGUUCCGACACAGCGCCUGGCCCCACCUGCGGGCCGCCUUCGCCCCCACGCCGCGCGGCUCCCGAGGAGGGGUCCUCUGGGAGAAGCCCCCCCCCCCCAAAAAAAAAACCCUCCUGGGGAAGGCCGCAACGGCCCUGCGGCGAGCUGCACACGCAGCACUUUUUAAAUGUCUCUCCCGGAGAAGUUGGCAGGCGGCGCAGGCCGGGAGAGGUCAAAGGCUCGCUGCGCCACCACGAACGAAGUCCGCCAAGGCCCGGUGGGGGGGAGGGCGGGGGGGGGUACGGGCAGGCCCCCAGCAGGCGCCCACUGCCCCCGCCCAGCCCCAGCCGCGACCCCCAGCCCCCUCCCCGCCGCGGGAGGCCUCAGGAACCGACCGGGGGAGAUCGGGCCCGGCCCCGCCGCCCCCUGGGCAGGCCCCGGCCCCCUCAACCCCCGGUAACCGCGCGGCCCCCGCCCCGGCCCCCACAGGGCCCCGCUGCCCCCUCAUUCCCUCACGCACCCGCUGCGCCCCUCAGCCCUCUCACCGCUUCGAGCAGAGAGGGGAAGGAGGGAGAAGGCGGGCAGGAGAGGACCCUCGGGGGGAAGGAGCCCGCCGCUUACCGUUCAGGACCGAGCCGAGCGAGCCCCGCGGCCGCCCUGUGCGCCCCAACAAAAUGGCGGCCGCCGCCCCGCGCCCGGCAGCUCCUUCCUCCUCCUCCUCCUCCUCCCCCCCCCUCCCACCUCCGGCGGCGCCGUGCGGCGUGACGUCACACGGCCGGCACAUCGGCCGAGCCCCGCCCGGCGCCGGGACCCCGCCCCCUGCGGCGCCAAGGGGCAGAGCCCGGGGGGGCGCUGAGGGGACCGGGGGUGGCCCGGGGGGGGUCUGGGGGGGUACGUGGGGAAGGUGCCGGGCACGGAAACUCCUCCCCGAAGCAGUUCUGUCACAUCUUGCACGGGGACGUCUGCUGCCGACGGACAAACCACGGCACCUCACGUUGAGCGAGCAGGGGUGUGUUCAGUGA
rnacentral:lncRNA from 1 species